rnacentral:rRNA from 1 species
UACGGGGGGAGCAAGCGUUAUUCGGAUUUACUGGGCGUAAAGGGCGCGUAGGCGGUCAGCACAAGUCAGUUGUGAAAUCUCCGAGCUUAACUCGGAAAGGUCAACUGAAACUGUGCGACUAGAGUGCGGAAGGGGCAACUGGAAUUCUUGGUGUAGCGGUGAAAUGCGUAGAUAUCAGGAGGAACACCGGUGGCGAAGGCGGUUCUCUGGGCAUGAUCUGACGCUGAGGAGCGAAAGUGUGGGGAGCGAACAGG